rnacentral:rRNA from 1 species
GACGAACCGUGCGAACGUUGUUCGGAAUCACUGGGCUUAAAGGGCGCGUAGGCGGGCUAUCAAGUCCGGGGUGAAAUCCUCCAGCUCAACUGGAGAACGGCCUCGGAUACUGAUGGUCUCGAGGAGGAUAGGGGCACACGGAACUGUGGGUGGAGCGGUGAAAUGCGUAGAUAUCAGGAGGAACACCGGUGGCGAAGGCGGCUAUCUGGACAGAAACUGACGCUGAGGCGCGAAAGCUAGGGGAGCAAACAGG